GACGAACGCUGGCGGCGUGCUUAACACAUGCAAGUCGAGCGGUAAGGCUCCUUCGGGGGUACACGAGCGGCGAACGGGUGAGUAACACGUGAGUAAUCUGCCCUUCACUUCGGGAUAGCUUCGGGAAACCGAAAUUAAUACCGGAUACGACCAGCCCCUGCAUGGGGUGUUGGUGGAAAGUUUUUUCGGUGGGGGAUGUGCUCGCGGCCUAUCAGCUUGUUGGUGGGGUAAUGGCCUACCAAGGCUUCGACGGGUAGCCGGCCUGAGAGGGUGACCGGGCACACUGGGAGUGAGACACGGCCCAGACUCCUACGGGAGGCAGCAGUGGGGAAUAUUGGACAAUGGGGGAAACACUGAUCCAGCAACGCCGCGUGAGGGAUGACGGCCUUCGGGUUGUAAACCUCUUUCAGCUCCGACGAAGUCACUCGUUGGGGGUGGUGACGGUAGGUGCAGAAGAAGGACCGGCCAACUACGUGCCAGCAGCCGCCGCAGUAA
rnacentral:rRNA from 1 species